rnacentral:rRNA from 1 species
GGAUGACACUUUUCGGAGCGUAAACUCCUUUUGUUGGGAAAGAAUAAUGACGGUACCCAACGAAUAAGCACCGGCUAACUCCGUGCCAGCAGCCGUGGUAAUACGGAGGGUGCAAGCGUUACUCGGAAUCACUGGGCGUAAAGGGCGCGUAGGCGGAUUGUCAAGUCUUUUGUGAAAUCUAACGGCUUAACCGUUAAACUGCUUAAGAAACUGAUAAUCUAGAGUAGGGGAGAGGCAGAUGGAAUUCUUGGUGUAGGGGUAAAAUCCGUAGAGAUCAAGAAGAAUACCUAUUGCGAAAGCGAUCUGCUGGAACUUAACUGACGCUAAUGCGCGAAAGCGUGGGGAGCAAACAGGAUUAGAUACCCUGGUAGUCCACGCCCUAAACGAUGUAUACUAGUUGUUGCUUUGCUAGUCAAGGCAGUAAUGCACCUAACGGAUUAAGUAUACCGCCUGGGGAGUACGGUCGCAAGAUUAAAACUCAAAGGAAUAGACGGGGACCCGCACAAGCGGUGGAGCAUGUGGUUUAAUUCGAAGAUACGCGAAGAACCUUACCCGGACUUGAUAUCUAACAAAUCAACUAGAGAUAGAUGAGUGCUUGCUUGCAAGAAUGUUAAGACAGGUGCUGCACGGCUGUCGUCAGCUCGUGUCGUGAGAUGUUGGGUUAAGUCCCGCAACGAGCGCAACCCACGUAUUUAGUUGCUAACGGUUAGGCCGAGCACUCUAAAUAGACUGCCUUCGUAAGGAGGAGGAAGGUGUGGACGACGUCAAGUCAUCAUGGCCCUUAUGUCCGGGGCGACACACGUGCUACAAUG